rnacentral:rRNA from 1 species
UACGGAAGGCAGCAGUGGGGAAUAUUGCACAAUGGGCGAAAGCCUGAUGCAGCUAUGCCGCGUGUAUGAAGAAGGCCUUAGGGUUGUAAAGUACUUUCAUCGGGGAGGAAAAAACAAAACUAAUAAUUUUAUUUCUUGACGUUACCCGAAAAAGAAGCACCGGCUAACUCCGUGCCAGCAGCCGCGGUAAUACGGAGGGUGCUAGCGUUAAUCAGAAUUACUGGGCGUAAAGAGCACGUAGGUGGUUUUUUUAAGUCAGAUGUGAAAUCCCUGGGCUUAACCUAGGAACUGCAUUUUGAAACUAAAAUACUAGAGUAUCGUAGAGGGAGGUAGAAUUCUAGGUGUAGCGGUGAAAUGCGUAGAUAUCUGGAGGAAUACCUGUGGCGAAAGCGGCCUCCUAAACGAAUACUGACACUGAGGGUGCGAAAGCGUGGGGAGCAAACAGGGAUUAGAUACC